GCCGAUGUGGUGGAAUUGGUAGACACGCUGUCUUGAGGGGGCAGUGCUCACAAGGCGUGCCGGUUCGAAUCCGGCCAUCGGCACCA
rnacentral:tRNA from 1 species